rnacentral:rRNA from 1 species
UGGAUUCUUCUGGUGGGGAGAGUGCCGAACUGGUGAGUAACGCGGGGGUGACCUGCCCCGAACACGGUGAUAACCGUUGGAAACAACCGCUAAUACCCGAUAUUCUCGGUGAUUCGGUUCAACUUGUAAAGGCUCCGGUGCUUCGAGAUGGGCCUGCGGCCUAUCAUCUAGUUGGUGGGGUAAUGGCCCUUGUGGCGAAGACGGGUAGGGGGCGUGAGAGCGCGGCCCCCCAACUGGCACUGUUGUACUGGCCCCACUUCUCCUGAAGGUUGAUGUCGGGGAUAUUGCUCAAUCGGCGAAAGCCACAUGCAGGGACGCCCCCUGUGCGAUAAUUGCCUUCGGGUUGCAAAACCCUUUUUUGGGACAAGAAAGCAGGACCGGACCCCAAGAAUAAGCGGGGCUUCCGCUUGCGCUUCGCCGCGGUACAAUGUCAGACGCAAGCGUUAUCCUGAUUUACUGGGCGUAUUAAGCGUUGAGGCGGUUCCGCUUGUUGGGGCGUGAAAGCCCCGGGCUUAACCCGGGGAGGUCGUUCAAUACUGCGGGACUUGAUGGCAGCAGAGGGAGGCGGAAUUCCCGGUGUAGCGGUGACCUGCCCAGAUAUCGUAUAGGAACACCAGUGGCGAAGACUAGCCUCCUGUCUUGUCUCUGACGCUCCCCGCGAAAUCUCACCUAGCGAACGGGAGUGAAAUACCCGAGUAGUCCUUCGCCACAGGUGAUGGAUGCUGGGUGUGGGGCGGUAUAGCAUCCCCUCCGUGCCGAAGCUAACGCGUUAAGCAUCCCGCCUGGGGAUUACGGUCUCAAGGCUGAAACUCAAACGAAUUGAUGGGGGCCCGCACAAGCAGCGGAGCGUGUGGUUUAAUUCGAUGUUACAAGAAGAACCUUACCUGGGCUUGACAUGUAGGUAGUAGUGAAGCGAAAGCGGAACGACCCUUCGGGGAGCCUACACAGGUGCUGCAUGGCAGUAGUCAGUUCGAACCGUGAGGCGUUGGUUUAAGUCCCGUAACGAACGCAACCCUUGCCCUUACUUACAUGUGUAUAAGGGGACUGCCCGGGACAAAGGGGAGGAAGGUGGGGAUGACGUCAAGUCAGCAUGGCCUUUAUGUCCAGGGCUACACACAUGUUACAAUGGCCGGUACAAUGGGUCGCCAAGCCGUGAGGCGGAGCCAAUCCCCCAAAGCCGGUCUAAGUUCGGAUUGUGGGUUGCAACUCGCCCAUAUGAAGCUGGAGUUGCUAGUAACCGCGCGUCAGCAAUAGUGCGGUGAAUACGUUCCCGGGCCUUCACACACCUCCCGUCACGUCAUGGAACACGGCAACACCAGAAGCCAGUGAGCUAACCCGCAAGG